AGAACUUAGCAGAGAUGCUUUGGUGCCUUCGGGAACUCUGAGACAGGUGCUGCAUGGCUGUCGUCAGCUCGUGUUGUGAAAUGUUGGGUUAAGUCCCGCAACGAGCGCAACCCUUAUCCUUUGUUGCCAGCGGUCCGGCCGGGAACUCAAAGGAGACUGCCAGUGAUAAACUGGAGGAAGGUGGGGAUGACGUCAAGUCAUCAUGGCCCUUACGAGUAGGGCUACACACGUGCUACAAUGGCGCAUACAAAGAGAAGCGACCUCGCGAGAGCAAGCGGACCUCAUAAAGUGCGUCGUAGUCCGGAUUGGAGUCUGCAACUCGACUCCAUGAAGUCGGAAUCGCUAGCAAUCGUAGAUCAGAAUGCUACGGUGAAUACGUUCCCGGGCCUUGUACACACCGCCCGUCACACCAUGGGAGUGGGUUGCAAAAGAAGUAGGUAGCUUAACCUUCGGGAGGGCGCUUACCACUUUGUGAUUCAUGACUGGGGUGAAGUCGUAACAAGGUAGGCGUAGCGAG
rnacentral:rRNA from 1 species